ensembl:lncRNA
UAAUUCAAAUUAUUUAUUUAUAGUAUAUAAAUAAAAUACUAAAACAAGCUGCAACGCCAAGGCAUUAGUACAACACAACGAAAACAAGACACGACACAAUUAAAUUAGCACAACACAACGAAAACAAGACACAACACAAAGGAAACAAAACAAGACAACACAACACAACGAAAACAAAACACAACACAAUUAAAUUAGCACAACACAAUGAAAACAAGACACAACACAAUUAAAUUAGCACAACACAGCAGAAACAAGACACAACACAAUUAAAUUAGCACAACACAACGAAAACAAGACACAACACAAUUAAAUUAGCACAACACAGCAGAAACAAGACACAACACAAUUAAAUUAGCACAACACAACGGAAACAAGACACAACACAAAGGAAACAAAACAAUACAACACAACAAAAAAAGACACAGCAAAUUCAAUUAGCACAACAAUGAAAACAAGAGAACACAAAUUAGCACAACACAACGAAAACAAGACACAACACAAUUAAAUUAGCACAACAGAAAGAAGACACAACACAAUGGAAACAAGACACAACACAAUUAAAUUAGCACAACAAUGAAAACAAGAGAACACAAAUUAGCACAACACAAUGAAAACAAGACACAACACAAAGGAAACAAAACAAUACAACACAACGAAAACAAGACACAGCACAAUUAAAUUAGCACAACACAACGAAAACAAGACACAACACAAUUAAAUUAGCACAACAAUGAAAACAAGACAACACAAUUAAAUUAGCACAACACAGUGGAAACUGUGACAAACACACAACGGAAACAAGACACAACACAACGAAAACAAGACACAACACAAUUAAAUAAGCACAACACAGCAGAAACAAGACACAACACAAUUAAAUUAGCACAACAGAAACAAGACACAACACAAUUAAAUAAGCACAACAGAAACAAGACACAAUACAAUUAAAUAAGCACAACACAAUGGAAACAAGACACAAUACAAUUAAAUAAGCACAACACAACGAAAACAAGACACAACACAAUUAAAUUAACACAACACAACGGAAACAAAACAACACAACAGAAACAAGACAACACAAUUCAAUUAGCACAACACAAUGGAAAAACAACACAAGACAACACAACGAAAACAAGACACAACACAAUUAAAUUAGCAUAACACAAUGAAAACAAGACAACACAAUAAAAUUAGCACAACGAAAACAAGACACAACACAAUUAAAUUAGCACAACACAAUGGAAACAAGCUGGAACACAGUGAAUUUAACACAACACAACUAAAUAAGUACUAUUGUGUUGUUGCAAUUUUGUUGUGUUAUGCACUACUGUGCCACUGUAGUUUAUUCAGUGCACAGUCAGUGAGUGAAACAGAGCAAAUGUAGUUAUGGUGUAAGUUAUAUGCUGUAUUUUGUGAAUCGAGACAGAGAUUUCUCUCUCGCUCUUUCUCUGUUUACAG